GCUGGGCGUGGUGGCGCGCGCCUCUAGUUCCAGUUACUUGGGAGGCUGAGGCAGAAGAAUCGCUUGAACCCAGGAGGCAGGGGUUGCAGUGAGCAGAGAUCACGCCACUGCACUCCAGCCUGGGCAACAGAGUGAGACUCCGUCUCAA
ensembl:misc_RNA Metazoa_SRP Metazoan signal recognition particle RNA